UGGGGAAUAUUGCACAAUGGAGGAAACUCUGAUGCAGCAACGCCGCGUGGAGGAUGACGCAUUUCGGUGUGUAAACUCCUUUUAUAUAGGAAGAUAAUGACGGUACUAUAUGAAUAAGCACCGGCUAACUCCGUGCCAGCAGCCGCGGCAAUACGGAGGGUGCAAGCGUUACUCGGAAUCACUGGGCGUAAAGCGCGCGCAGGCGGCUUUGUAAGUUGGAUGUGAAAUCCUAUGGCUCAACCAUAGAACUGCAUCCAAAACUACUUAGCUAGAGUCUGGGAGGGGAAGAUGGAAUUAGUGGUGUAGGGGUAAAAUCCGUAGAGAUCACUAGGAAUACCAAAAGCGAAAGCGAUCUUCUGGAACAGUACUGACGCUGAGGCGCGAAAGCGUGGGGAGCAAACAG
rnacentral:rRNA from 1 species